rnacentral:lncRNA from 1 species
AGAUUAGCAAUGCUGGCGAGGACUUCUUUGUCACCAAAACAGAUGGAAGGUGGGUGGGAUCAGAGCAGUUGCUAGGUGAUGGGUGAUCAGUCACCUAACAGUCUGAGGGGAUAAGCCAAUUUGCCAAAACCAUUUCAGGGAUCUCUUCCGAACCUCAAAAAUUCCCCUAAGACAAAAUCAGUUACUUUGGAAGUUAUCCCUUCUGUCCUCACUCCUGGCUGAAGUUGACUGGGUUGGCCCAUAGAAGCUUGUGCUGGCAAGCACUGGGGUCCACAUGUGUUUCUGGUGAGGCUCAAGAUUUUCCAGAAGACAACAGACAGCUUUUGAGUGUAAAAUCAAGAACAGAAGCACUAGAAUGCAUGAAAAGAGUACUUGGAAGUUUAAUGAUGAUUCUACACAGAGUUGGCCAAAGAUUUUUCACAGGUCACCAAGUCCUGGAACUAGAGUAAAUCAUUGCUAAAGAUUGAUCUUGGGUACAGCCAGAGUGGACAAAAGCCAAAAGGCACAGCAGGUCUGACCUAUAGAGUCCCC